UAGGGAAUCUUCGGCAAUGGACGAAAGUCUGACCGAGCAACGCCGCGUGAGUGAAGAAGGUUUUCGGAUCGUAAGACUCUGUUGGUAGAGAAGAACGUUGGUGAGAGUGGAAAGCUCAUCAAGUGACGGUAACUACCCAGAAAGGGACGGCUAACUACGUGCCAC
rnacentral:rRNA from 1 species